UUGAACAGUCGUGAGUGAAACAACUCAAAGUAUUAAAAAAAGAAGCAAGAGAAAAAUAUUUUUGUUGUGAGAAAAAGUAUUAAAAUGGUAGUGAAAAAAGACUGUCAGUGAGUCAUCUGCAACGAAAAGCAAAAAAAAAAUCAAAACAAAGUGUAAAAUGUAGCUGCAGUGUUCAGGAUCCAUUUCCUGAGUGAAAUUGGAGAAAAUCCAAAAAAAAAAUUGAAAAUUCGAUGUAGUUGCAAGUGUGGAAACUUCCAACUGAACCGACUCCGGCAAGAGGGUCAAAAGUCGCUCCGAGCAGAAGAAGAAUGGUCAAAAAAGAGGAAACUUCGAAACGUAAGCCUUUGAUGAAUCAUUUCUUUUAAAAAAAUCGCCGUAGACGCCAGCAGCGCAACGUUCGGGGGGAGUCAUCAGAUGACAUCUUCGUCGUUGUUGCCAUAAUUUUCCAACGAGGAAAUCGUUCAAGUUCGUAAGAGAGUUCGUUGUGAAAGUUGUCGAAAGAGAAAAAUACGUUUUGAAACGAUUAGUAGGAAAAAAAAGUCAGGCGUGAGUUAGAGUAGCGUUAAAAAGUUCGCUGAGAGUUGCUGAGGUGUCACCGGAAGUUGCUUCCUAAAAUCUGCCGACUGCCGGGACAACAGAAAAAAACCUUCGUAUUACCCACACUUUGAAAAAUUCGACAAAAAAUGCGAAUGAUAAUUUCUGCGUAUAAAAUUCGUAAGUAAACCGUCAAAAGGUAAAUUUUUUUGCAUACCUCAGCACUUUCCAGUCCAUUGCAUGUCGCAUCUCCGGAUUGCGCCAACUUGUAUUCAGCAUCUUUUGCGCCGCCUACACGAAAAAACAGCGAAAAACCAUUGAAAAAAGUCCGUAAGUGCGUUGAAACCUGCGAAAAUCUUACCCAUAGAUUGAAUUUUCUCGUAAACGAAGCAACGGAAGCGUUCCUCAUUCGAUGUCGCGUGAUGAUGUGUGACAAGUCCCACGAGAUAACGUGCAUUACCGUCCUUCCAAGUUGCUAGACAGGUUAAUUCCUCAACUGAAAAAGCGUGAAAAAUUAGUAAAAACCCAAAAAUUGACGAAAAAUAAAUCUUACCUGUGCUCUCAGUGUCGUGAACAUCGGGACACGCCUGAAAACUCAACAGCAAACGACUAUCUUCAGUGCAACUCUCGAUAUUGCUGACAGGAUUUUUGCAUUCGCCGUGCCCGCGAUUGUAUGUGAAUGUGAAGGGACCUAAAAAGAAGCAAAGAAAAGUGUGAAAAGACUCGAAAGACUCUGAAAAAGUGAAGAAAAGUCCGAAAAUUGAGGUCCAAGUGUCGCAAAAAAGUCACAGAAGUGAAGUGAGCGUCGAAAAGUGUGAAGAAAAAUCAUCUGAAGAGCAAAAAAUUUUAAAAAUAAGAUAAAAUAGUCAAUUUUUUGUAGUUUUUCCUUAACAGAAAUCACCACAAAAAUUUUUUUUCGUUAAAUUUUUACCAUUAAACCGAAUUAAAACCUAUCCUGAGCCAAAUUUCUGUGUGAAAACCAACAAUAUUACCUGAAAUUACUUCAAAAAGUGUACCUUGAAAUUUUUGCCUUAACAAUUAAAGCAAUUUUUUCUUAAAAAAAAAAGUUUUUUUAAAGUCGUCUUUCCCGCGGGGGUUCGAAGCCCCUUGCGGAAGUGUAAAAAAAAAAUAACAUUCCAUUAAAAAAAAAAUAUUAAAAAAAUUAAAAAAAAAAAUAAAAUAAUAUUUGCGUGUGUUUGAGCCAAAAAUAUAAUUUUAAGUCAAAAAAAGUGUCAUAAAAGCAAUUUUUCCUUAAAGAAGGCCUUAUUAGCUUACGUUCGUGUACUUAUGAUUUCAAUUUUUUUUUAAGUGUGGCUAACUUUUAGAGUGAAAUCGUAAAAAAAAGCUAAAAAAAUUAUCCUACAGCUGAAAAAAUACUCAAAUUUCUUUGAAAUUUUGCUUUUUUUGAACCUUAAGUGCAUUUAUUAACUUAUAAAAAGUCAUCAAAGUAUCAAAAGUGGUUGUAAAAUUUAAAUUUUUUAAGACAAUAAUACAAAAGAAGUCGUUAAUUGGUUAAAAACUAAGGAAAUCAGGUACAGGCACUCCUUUUAGGGGGGUGACCUGAGUAAAGGAACCAAAAAAAAAUUUUUUUUAAAGUAGAACUAACAAAAAUUAGUGAUUAGAAGUGUUUUUGCUCAAUUUAGUGGCAUAAAAAUUUAUUCUGAACCAAUUCGCUUAAGACAAUUAAAAUAAAAAACUACCUGGCGCUUCCAUAAGUUAUAAUUUUAAUUCUCUUGCUACCAGAAUUUCAUACGAAUUUCAAACCUCACCCUUCUACGUGAAUUAUUUUCAGCAUUAACGCCUAAUUUUAUGUACAAAUUUACAAAAAAACACCCAAAAAUAGCUUUCUUCAACGAAAAUUAAAAACUUGAUGAAAAAAACUUCAAAUAAAAUUUCGAAAGCCGAGAACAUUAAAUUACGAAAAGAGUCCGAACUUAAAAAAAAUCGACACCCCUCGCGGGGGGUUGUCGCGUCAUCGUCAUCGAUUCUUGGCAAUAAGUCUGAUUAGAAUUAAGAAAAAAAAACUUACCUUUCAGUGGACAUUUCACCGCUUCUGCGUUCUCCUUGAACAUACUGUACAGCAGAGCAUCUCCCGGAAUUUGUUCGCACAAAUAUUGAAGAGUUUCUCGUUGUCUGCAACCGGGACCUAAAUUUAAUUUUAAAGCGGAAGCGGAAAAAAAAUUAAAUAUUAAUAAGAUUUAUUUUUGUUUAUAAAAAAAUAAUUAAAAAAAAAAUUAAAAAAAUCGAAAAAUUAUUAUUAUAAAAAAAAAAAAAAAAAAAAAAUAUUGGAAUGGAAUAGAGUAGAGGGUUAAAUUUUAAUGUUUAAAUGAUUGAUGAAACAUCUACAAAUAACUUUUGAUUUUUUUUUAAAUUAAUUUUUUUCAUUAAUAAUAUUGCUAACCAUCUUUAUUAUUAUUAUUUAAAUUAUUAUUUUGCCAUAAAUUCAUAUUAAAUUUUUUUUUAACAUUUUUUUUUGAAUAACCACCUUUUGCAUAAAUUUUAAGUAUAUUAAGAUUUUUUUAUCACAAAAACACAGACAACCAUUAUACACAUUAUACAACAUAUAUAUUACUUUUAUUAUUAAUACCUUUUUUUAUAUUAUUAUCAUCAUAUAUAUAUUUUUUUAACAUACAUUUUCAAUAAUAAUAAACAUAUAUAAUUUUUUUUUAUUAUUUUUUUAACUUUUUGAAUAAAAACGCACAAAAAUCAUCCACAGCACGCAUUACUAUAAUAAUAUUAACAUAUAUAUAUGAUAUAGCGUCCUUUGUGAGUGCAGCAAAAAAAUAUAUUUAUUACACAAUCAGUGUGACCUUUUCUGCAAGUGACAACAAAAAAACCUUUUAUUCGUAAAUAAAUAAUUAUUAAAAAAAAUAUAUAUAAAAAAGUGUAUGAAAUGUAAUAUUAUCAUAACACAUCGUCUAUCAGAAUUAAAAAUUUUUAAUAUUAAAAAAAUAAUAAUAAAAUAUUGUAAUAUUAUCAAUUAAGAAGUAUGUAGUAUUAACGCAAAAAAAUGGAUGUGUUGAAAACUUUUGUGUCGCGCACUAAAGAGUGUUGAUGUACUGAAUUAUACAACAUAAUUCAACUUCCAAUAAUUUUAUAACUUUUUAGUGUACCGAAAAGUUUUUUUUUUAAAUAUUUUUUUUUUUUAUAAAUUUAUAGUAAUUAUAAUUAUUCCGGUCCUUUAGUCUCAUUAAAUUUUUGUGUUUACGCAGAUUAUUAUCAUCAUCAUUAUUAUUAUUAUUUUAUCCUUUAUUAUAUUUUUAGAUUA